rnacentral:rRNA from 1 species
CUACGGGUUGCUGCAGUGGGGAAUAUUGCACAAUGGGCGCAAGCCUGAUGCAGCCAUGCCGCGUGUAUGAAGAAGGCCUUCGGGUUGUAAAGUACUUUCAGCGGGGAGGAAGGGAGUAAAGUUAAUACCUUUGCUCAUUGACGUUACCCGCAGAAGAAGCACCGGCUAACUCCGUGCCAGCAGCCGCGGUAAUACGGAGGGUGCAAGCGUUAACCGGAAUUACUGGGCGUAAAGCGCACGCAGGCGGUUUGUUAAGUCAGAUGUGAAAUCCCCGGGCUCAACCUGGGAACUGCAUCUGAUACUGGCAAGCUUGAGUCUCGUAGAGGGGGGUAGAAUUCCAGGUGUAGCGGUGAUAUGCGUAGAGAUCUGGAGGAAUACCGGUGGCGAAGGCGGCCCCCUGGACGAAGACUGACGCUCAGGUGCGAAAGCGUGGGGAGCAAACAGGAUUAGAUACCCCAGUAGUC